GGCCAGAGUAGCAUAAUGGUUUGAGUAUUGGACUACCAUUCUGGAGACCAGUGUUCAAUUCCCAGCUUGGCCA